UACGUAGGGUGCAAGCGUUAAUCGGAAUUACUGGGCGUAAAGCGUGCGCAGGCGGUUGUGCAAGACAGAUGUGAAAUCCCCGGGCUCAACCUGGGAACUGCAUUUGUGACUGCACGGCUGGAGUCCGGAAGAGGAGAGUGGAAUUCCUGGUGUAGCGGUGAAAUGCGCAGAUAUCAAGAGGAACACCUGCGGCGAAGGCGGGUUGCUGGGGCUGACACAUGACGCUGAGGCGCGGAAAGCGUAGGGAGCGAACGGG
rnacentral:rRNA from 1 species